rnacentral:rRNA from 1 species
GAUGAACGCUGGCGGCGUGCCUAAUACAUGCAAGUCGAGCGAACAGACGAGGAGCUUGCUCCUCUGAAGUUAGCGGCGGACGGGUGAGUAACACGUGGAUAACCUACCUAUAAGACUGGGAUAACUUCGGGAAACCGGAGCUAAUACCGGAUAACAUGUUGAACCGCAUGGUUCAACAGUGAAAGAUGGUCUUGCUGUCACUUAUAGAUGGAUCCGCGCCGCAUUAGCUAGUUGGUAAGGUAACGGCUUACCAAGGCAACGAUGCGUAGCCGACCUGAGAGGGUGAUCGGCCACACUGGAACUGAGACACGGUCCAGACUCCUACGGGAGGCAGCAGUAGGGAAUCUUCCGCAAUGGGCAAAAGCCUGACGGAGCAACGCCGCGUGAGUGAAGAAGGUCUUCGGAUCGUAAAACUCUGUUAUUAGGGAAGAACAAAUGUGUAAGUAACUACGCACGUCUUGACGGUACCUAAUCAGAAAGCCACGGCUAACUACGUGCCAGCAGCCGCGGUAAUACGUAGGUGGCAAGCGUUAUCCGGAAUUAUUGGGCGUAAAGCGCGCGUAGGCGGUUUUUUAAGUCUGAUGUGAAAGCCCACGGCUCAACCGUGGAGGGUCAUUGGAAACUGGAAAACUUGGGUGCAGAAGAGGAAAGUGGAAUUCCAUGUGUAGCGGUGAAAUGCGCAGAGAUAUGGAGGAACACCAGUGGCGAAGGCGACUUUCUGGUCUGUAACUGACGCUGAUGUGCGAAAGCGUGGGGAUCGAACAGGAUUAGAUACCCUGGUAGUCCACGCCGUAAACGAUGAGUGCUAAGUGUUAGGGGGUUUCCGCCCCUUAGUGCUGCAGCUAACGCAUUAAGCACUCCGCCUGGGGAGUACGACCGCAAGGUUGAAACUCAAAGGAAUUGACGGGGACCCGCACAAGCGGUGGAGCAUGUGGUUUAAUUCGAAGCAACGCGAAGAACCUUACCAAAUCUUGACAUCCUCUGACCCCUCUAGAGAUAGAGUUUUCCCCUUCGGGGGACAGAGUGACAGGUGGUGCAUGGUUGUCGCCAGCUCGUGUCGUGAGAUGUUGGGUUAAGUCCCGCAACGAGCGCAACCCUUAAGCUUAGUUGCCAUCAUUAAGUUGGGCACUCUAAGUUGACUGCCGGUGACAAACCGGAGGAAGGUGGGGAUGACGUCAAAUCAUCAUGCCCCUUAUGAUUUGGGCUACACACGUGCUACAAUGGACAAUACAAAGGGUAGCGAAACCGCGAGGUCAAGCAAAUCCCAUAAAGUUGUUCUCAGUUCGGAUUGUAGUCUGCAACUCGACUACAUAAAGCUGGAAUCGCUAGUAAUCGUAGAUCAGCAUGCUACGGUGAAUACGUUCCCGGGUCUUGUACACACCGCCCGUCACACCACGAGAGUUUGUAACACCCGAAGCCGGUGGAGUAACCUUUUGGAGCUAGCCGUCGAAGGUGGGACAAAUGAUUGGGGUGAAGUCGUAACAAGGUAGCCGUAUCGGAAGG